rnacentral:rRNA from 1 species
GACAGAGGGUGCAAACGUUGCUCGGAAUCACUGGGCGUAAAGGGCGUGUAGGCGGGAAGGUAAGUCAGAUGUGAAAUCCCUGGGCUCAACCCAGGAACUGCAUUUGAAACUCCCUUUCUUGAGUGUCGGAGAGGAAAGCGGAAUUCCUGGUGUAGAGGUGAAAUUCGUAGAUAUCAGGAGGAACACCGGUGGCGAAGGCGGCUUUCUGGACGACAACUGACGCUGAGACGCGAAAGCGUGGGGAGCAAACAGG